AUACGUAGGUGACAAGCGUUAUCCGGAUUUACUGGGCGUAAAGGGCGUGUAGGCGGUCUUGCAAGUCAGAAGUGAAAUUCCUGAGCUCAACUCGGGCGCUGCUUCUGAAACUGCAGGACUUGAGUGCUGGAGGGGAUAGCGGAAUUCCUAGUGGAGCGGUAAAAUGCGCAGAUAUUAGGAAGAACACCGGUGGCGAAGGCGGCUAUCUGGACGGUAACUGACGCUGAGGCGCGAAAGCGUGGGGAGCAAACAGGAUUAGAUACCCUGGUAGUCCACGCAGUAAACGAUGAACACUGGCUGUCCGGCCCGAUCGGGGGCUGGGUGGCGUAGCGAAAGCGUUAAGUGUUCCACCUGGGGAGUACGCCGGCAACGGUGAAACUCAAAUGAAUUGGCGGGG
rnacentral:rRNA from 1 species